GAUGAACGCUAGCGGCAGGCUUAACACAUGCAAGUCGAGGGGCAGCAUAAACAUUGCUUGCAAUGUUUGAUGGCGACCGGCGCACGGGUGCGUAACGCGUAUGCAACCUACCCAUAACAGGGGGAUAACACUGAGAAAUUGGUACUAAUACCCCGUAACAUCAGAAGAGGCAUCUUUUUUGGUUGAAAGUUCCGGCGGUUAUGGAUGGGCAUGCGUUGUAUUACGCUAGUUGGUAAGGUAACGGCUUACCAAGGCGACGAUACAUAGGGGGACUGAGAGGUUAACCCCCACAUUGGUACUGAGACACGGACCAA
rnacentral:rRNA from 1 species